AUUACACUUCAAAUGGUUUCUGAUGCAGGUAAUACAUCCAUUUGAUGCUCAAGCAGAUGGGGAGCUAAGUUUAUCCAUUGGUGACUAUGUUGUGGUUCGACAGGUUGCUCCUAAUGGAUGGUCUGAAGGCGAAUGCAAAGGCAAUGCUGGAUGGUUUCCCUCAGCUUAUAUAGAAAGACGGGAAAAAGCUCCAGCAAGCAAGAUCGCUGAAGCUAGUUAAUCAUUAUGGUGCAGAGUUGUUUCAUCUGUAUGUUGUAUAAAUGCUUCUCAAUUUUCAUGUAUUUUUGUGCUAAUUGUAUUAAAUGCUAUAAAAUUGUCCUUAUUCUGAAAGCGUGUAAAUACAUGGUGUUUUUUUGUCAUAAACUGAGAGUUUCAUACUGCUUUAUGCGUAAAUUGUAAUAAUGUGGUAUACGCUUGUUUGAUUAUAACUAGAAAAUAAUUGAUUAUAUGCUA